rnacentral:piRNA from 1 species
UAGGGUGCUCAGCUUUAUGAGGUCUGU